GAUGAACGCUGGCGGCGUGCCUAAUACAUGCAAGUCGAGCGAACAGACGAGGAGCUUGCUCCUCUGACGUUAGCGGCGGACGGGUGAGUAACACGUGGAUAACCUACCUAUAAGACUGGGAUAACUUCGGGAAACCGGAGCUAAUACCGGAUAACAUGUUGAACCGCAUGGUUCAACAGUGAAAGACGGUCUUGCUGUCACUUAUAGAUGGAUCCGCGCCGCAUUAGCUAGUUGGUAAGGUAACGGCUUACCAAGGCAACGAUGCGUAGCCGACCUGAGAGGGUGAUCGGCCACACUGGAACUGAGACACGGUCCAGACUCCUACGGGAGGCAGCAGUAGGGAAUCUUCCGCAAUGGGCGAAAGCCUGACGGAGCAACGCCGCGUGAGUGAAGAAGGUCUUCGGAUCGUAAAACUCUGCUAUUAGGGAAGAACAAAUGUGUAUGUAACUAUGCACGUCUUGACGGUACCUAAUCAGAAAGCCACGGCUAACUACGUG
rnacentral:rRNA from 1 species